rnacentral:rRNA from 1 species
UACAGGGGGGGCAAGCGUUGUUCGGAAUUACUGGGCGUAAAGGGCUCGUAGGCGGCCAGCUAAGUCACACGUGAAAUCCCCAGGCUUAACCUGGGAACUGCGUGUGAUACUGGAUGGCUUGAAUUCGGGAGAGGGAUGCAGAAUUCCAGGUGUAGCGGUGAAAUGCGUAGAUAUCUGGAGGAAUACCGGUGGCGAAGGCGGCAUCCUGGACCGACAUUGACGCUGAGGAGCGAAAGCUAGGGGAGCAAACGGG